GCUCCAGCUUCGGUGUUGGCGGUACACUCCCAGGCCUCGCCCGGCUCCCUGCCUCCUGGAAGGUAUUUCAUAAGCCUUGCCCCGUGGGUGAGACCUACCGCCGCCGAGGCGCUAUCCCAGGACAGGCUGGAGUCCAGAAGUGAACCUUGCCCACGGACAAGCCAGAGAGGCUCAGAAUGCUAUUGUCAUCUCGCCGGGGAGGCCGGCAGGUGGGGAACCGGUCCCUGGGCACAGAUCUGGCCGGGAACAGCCGUGGAGGCUGGAAGGCGCGAGUGCAGACCCCAGCUUACAGACCCUGUAGAGACGGGGGGCUCCACCCCUUGUGCCCUCGCGCUGGGAUCAGCCCCCUCCUCUUCAUCCGGUAAAGCUGAGUAGGUGUUCAGUCCGUGAGGAGGAAGGGAGGAUGACAGAAGGGAUGGAUUUGUACCCUGGAGAGCUGCCGCGAAACCUGUGACUAGACAAUGCCUCCCGACAAGGGUUGUUCGUCUGUGACCCAGAGCGUUACAACAGAAGGCUGUGAAGGACUGAGGGAAGACUGGCCUCCUAUCAGGGGUUCACAGGGAGACCAUCAGAGUUCCUCCAGUCCCCGGGACCCUCCCAGGACGCAGUGAGACCCUCUCUGAAGACAGUGUCUCAGUCCCAGAUCUUCUUUCCUGAACCACAUCCUCCAGGAUCUUGGGUCCUGGGCUGUCUUGAGGAGGGGGUUGUGUACCUGGCUUUGUGUGCUGUGGAGCAGACAGGCUUUUACGGCUGUAAGCUAUGUGCAGUACAUGGCCCUGGCUUGUGACAAAUCUUGUCCUUCCUUCAACCUCGGUCCUUUUCACACUUCCUUCCUGCGGACAGCACCCCAGGCCCUUAGAGACCAGGCAACUGGACAGACACCAAGCCAGGAGGCCUGGGAGGUAAGUGGGAGAUGAGAAUGGAGCCUUCCACAUUAGACCUCCCCAUGGCACUCAUGGCUCCACACCCCAGCCCUGUGGAACACAGAAGAACAACCCCAUGGUUCCCCACGUUCUCUGAGCCCCACAUAAUUAGCCCCAGGGUCCUAUGGGAGACUUUGGCCAGGGGUUCCAGUUGAGGCGGCCUCUGCUUGGCAGGCUGUAUCUCCAUUUUGUUUCUUUCAGAACUCUGUUCCAGCCCCACAAGAAGAGGGAGAGUUAAAAAAACAAAUCAACCAAACAAACAAACAAAUAAAAAGCAAAAAACCA